rnacentral:pre_miRNA from 1 species
AGAGAGAGACGACAAAGAGAGAAGAGAGAGAAAAGAGAGAAGUCUCUCUCUUCUCUCUUUUCUCUCUCUAUUCCCUUUAUGUUGUCUCUCUCUAU